CUAAAGGCCCUUUUAAGGGCCACCGAAACACCUCACAGAGCAACAU
rfam:Tetraodon nigroviridis, WGS project CAAE01000000 data, contig: CNS0BVNB, chromosome: undetermined